GACGUAGGGCGCGAGCGUUGUCCGGAUUUAUUGGGCGUAAAGAGCUCGUAGGCGGUUUUUCGCGUCUGCUGUGAAAUCCCGAGGCUCAACCUCGGGUCUGCAGUGGGUACGGGCAGACUGGAGUGCGGUAGGGGAGAAUGGAAUUCCUGGUGUAGCGGUGGAAUGCGCAGAUAUCAGGAGGAACACCGAUGGCGAAGGCAGUUCUCUGGGCCGUAACUGACGCUGAGGAGCGAAAGCGUGGGGAG
rnacentral:rRNA from 1 species